rnacentral:rRNA from 1 species
UACGUAGGGUGCAAGCGUUAAUCGGAAUUACUGGGCGUAAAGCGCGCGUAGGCGGUUUUGCAAGUCGGGUGUGAAAUCCCCAGGCUUAACCUGGGGAACUGCAUUCGAGACUGCAUUACUAGAGUAUGGGAGAGGGAAGUGGAAUUUCCGGUGUAGCGGUGAAAUGCGUAGAUAUCGGAAGGAACAUCAGUGGCGAAAGCGACUUCCUGGACCAAUACUGACGCUCAUGUGCGAAAGCGUGGGGAGCAAACAGG